AGACGUCUACAUUAGAUACCCGUGUAGUCCCAGCCGUAAACUAUGCGCGUUAGGUGUAUCGGUGACCACGAGUCACCGAGGUGCCGAAGGGAAACCGUGAAACGUGCCGCCUGGGAAGUACGGUCGCAAGGCUGAAACUUAAAGAAAUUGGCGGGGAGCACCACAACGGGUGGAGCCUGCGGUUUAAUUGGACUCAACGCCGGGAAGCUCACCGGAUAAGACAGCGGAAUGAUUGCCGGGCUGAAGACUCUGCAUGACUAGCUG
rnacentral:rRNA from 1 species